GGGCCCGCACAAGCGGCGGAGCAUGCGGAUUAAUUCGAUGCAACGCGAAGAACCUUACCAAGGCUUGACAUAUAGAGGAAAAGUGCAGAAAUGCACUCCCCGCAAGGUCUCUAUACAGGUGGUGCAUGGUUGUCGUCAGCUCGUGUCGUGAGAUGUUGGGUUAAGUCCCGCAACGAGCGCAACCCUCGUCCUAUGUUGCCAGCACGUAAUGGUGGGAACUCAUGGGAUACUGCCGGGGUCAACUCGGAGGAAGGUGGGGAUGACGUCAAAUCAUCAUGCCCCUUAUGUCUUGGGCUUCACGCAUGCUACAAUGGCCGGUACAGAGGGCUGCAAUACCGCAAGGUGGAGCGAAUCCCAAAAAGCCGGUCUCAGUUCGGAUCGUAGGCUGCAACUCGCCUACGUGAAGGAGGAAUCGCUAG
rnacentral:rRNA from 1 species